AUUGUAUAGCCAGACUAUUUGCUGGGUAUUAAAAUGAAGAUUCAAGUCGGUCUAAAGUUUAACAAUUUAAUAAACGAUCCAACAAGAAUAUAAACGAUGUUACAAUAUUGAGUCCGGUGUUGACGGUUUAAGAACCUAUCCAAAACUGAAUAUAAAUUAUUUUUAAGAAGUAUAUAAAACAGAAUAAUUUAGAAAUACAUGUAACAACGGAUUAGGCAAUUAUUGUCCAUUGUU
rnacentral:lncRNA from 1 species